GACGAACGCUGGCGGCGUGCUUAACACAUGCAAGUCGAACGAUGAAGCUCCAGCUUGCUGGGGUGGAUUAGUGGCGAACGGGUGAGUAACACGUGAGUAACCUGCCCUUGACUCUGGGAUAAGCCUUGGAAACGGGGUCUAAUACCGGAUAGGAGCAUUCACCGCAUGGUGGGUGUUGGAAAGAAUUUCGGUCUUGGAUGGACUCGCGGCCCAUCAGCUUGUUGGUGAGGUAAUGGCUCACCAAGGCGACGACGGGCAGCCGGCCUGAGAGGGUGACCGGCCACACUGGGACUGAGACACGGCCCAGACUCCUACGGGAGGCAGCAGUGGGGAAUAUUGCACAAUGGGCGCAAGCCUGAUGCAGCGACGCCGCGUGAGGGAUGACGGCCUUCGGGUUGUAAACCUCUUUCAGUAGGGAAGAAGCGAAAGUGACGGUACCUGCAGAAGAAGCACCGGCUAACUACGUGCCAGCAGCCGCCGUAAAAC
rnacentral:rRNA from 1 species